AACAUCGCGCACCUGCGGGAACCUGCGGAGGGAUCAUUACAGAGUUGCAAAACUCCCUAAACCAUUGUGAACGUUACCUAAACCGUUGCUUCGGCGGGCGGCCCGGGUCCUUCCCGGCGCCCCUCGGCCCUCGCGGGCGCCCGCCGGAGGUAAACCAAACUAUUGCAUUGUAUGGCCUCUCUGAGUCUUCUGUACUGAAUAAGUCAAAACUUUCAUCAACGGAUCUCAGAUCGGAAGAGC
rnacentral:misc_RNA from 1 species